GUUAAUUUUAUAUUUUUGUCUCUUAAUUAAUUUUUAUAAGCAUUUCUUAGAUUAAUUAGUUUAAAUUUGAUUUUUCUAUUGAAUUAAUUUUUAUUUUUUUUUAUGUAAAGAUUGAUUUAAAAAGAAAUUUAAGAAAAAUAGAAGUUGAAGAUUAAAUGGAGUUUCCAAUAAAUUCCACACUCAAAUUAUGGAAAUUGAAAAAAUAUCACACCCAAACCAUAGGAAGAAAAAUUAAGUGAUGCAAAGGAACAAUAAAUCCCACAACCUACCUGUGGAAAGGAAAAAUGAGCACAACCAAGCUGUGGGAUGAUGGAGAGCGCACAAGCAGGUUGUGGAUGCCUUUUUUAUACUUUUCUCAUCAAUUAGCUUUUAACAACUUACCAGGGGAGAGGAAAAGUCCAAUUUUGAGUUGGUUCAAGUUUCUCUUCAUCUUGAGAAAACCAUUUUUGACCUCAAGCAAAAGUUUAAAAGAGGUUUUUUUAAAAGUAUUUGGAGGCUAAAGUAAGGGUUUUCAUGAAAU
rnacentral:misc_RNA from 1 species